UAUGUCUUCGGAUAUAGAGACCGGCGCACGGGUGCGUAACGCGUAUGCAAUCUACCUUUUACAGAGGGAUAGCCCAGAGAAAUUUGGAUUAAUACCUCAUAGUAUAGCUCUACCGCAUGGUAGUACUAUUAAAGUCACAACGGUAAAAGAUGAGCAUGCGUCCCAUUAGCUAGUUGGUAAGGUAACGGCUUACCAAGGCAACGAUGGGUAGGGGUCCUGAGAGGGAGAUCCCCCACACUGGUACUGAGACACGGACCAGACUCCUACGGGAGGCAGCAGUGAGGAAUAUUGGACAAUGGGCGCAAGCCUGAUCCAGCCAUGCCGCGUGCAGGAUGACGGUCCUAUGGAUUGUAAACUGCUUUUGUACGAGAAGAAACACUGCUUCGUGAAGCAGCUUGACGGUAUCGUAAGAAUAAGGAUCGGCUAACUCCGUGCCAGCAGCCGCGGUAAUACGGAGGAUCCAAGCGUUAUCCGGAAUCAUUGGGUUUAAAGGGUCCGUAGGCGGUUUAGUAAGUCAGUGGUGAAAGCCCAUCGCUCAACGGUGGAACGGCCAUUGAUACUGCUGAACUUGAAUUAUUAGGAAGUAACUAGAAUAUGUAGUGUAGCGGUGAAUGCUUAGAGAUUACAUGGAUACCAAUUGCGAAGGCAGGUUACUACUAAUUGAUUGACGCUGAUGGACG
rnacentral:rRNA from 1 species